UACGUAGGGUGCGAGCGUUGUCCGGAAUUACUGGGCGUAAAGAGCUCGUAGGUGGUUUGUCGCGUUGUUCGUGAAAACCUGGGGCUUAACUCUGGGCGUGCGGUCGAUACGGGCAUCACUGGAGUUCGGCAGGGGAGACUGGAAUUCCUGGUGUAGCGGUGAAAUGCGCAGAUAUCAGGAGGAACACCGAUGGCGAAGGCAGGUCUCUGGGCAUUAACUGACGCUGAGGAGCGAAAGCAUGGGGAGCGAACAGG
rnacentral:rRNA from 1 species